GGCAGUUCUUGGGUGACACACCCCUGAAUCAGACUCCCUCCUCUCUGCUUCUGGGUGUGUCACCCGAGUACCCCA
rfam:Myotis brandtii contig186341, whole genome shotgun sequence.